rnacentral:lncRNA from 1 species
CCCUGUUGCAGCUCCAACGCUGAUCAUCCACUCAGUCUGCUGGGUUUCCCUGAGUGGUCCUCAGGCGUGGAAUACAAAAGAAGCUGGAAGCGACUGCUUGGGCAUGCGUGCGGUGGGCUUGGUACAACAGCUUGGGCAUGCGUGUUGUGGGCUUGGUCCUGGAGUAGACUCGCCUUAGAGACACUUAGCUCCUUCCACCAAAGAAAAAGAAGCUCGUGACUGAACUAAUCAUCCUCAAGGAUUGUACAAAUGGCGCACCAAUUUUACGGAAAAACUGCCUUGGUGUGAGAGCUCCUUGUGGCUCAGCUCAGGACCAAAUGGCUUAUUACUUGUGAUCAUCUUAAGACGCUGCAGCUUUAAAGCAAGACGGAGGAACCCUCCAUUUUCAGCAGCACUAGGCCACAUUCGGCAGCGGGCCGGUGGCUCCCGCUCGCCUCUCCGCGGAGAAGGCUCUGGAGGACUCUGUUCCGCGCCGGGCAGCCCAGGAACCAGGUCCCCAGCGGCCAGCACAGCCCUGUUGCCAAGGGAACCGCCACGCGCCGCUGAGCUGGCCCACUAGCGGGAACGUGAGGGGAUAGGCCCGGGCAGGCCAGACAUGGAGCUGCCGGACCCUGUUCGUCAGCGCUUGAGCAACCUCAGCCUCACCAUGUUCGGCGACUCCAGCCGUACCGGGCCAGAGUCCAGUGAGGCCGCGGGUGAGUGGCAAGGGGCCCCACGCGGAGGUGUGGUUCGCGGGCGGGCGGCCGCA